AUACGUAGGUGACAAGCGUUAUCCGGAUUUACUGGGCGUAAAGGGCGUGUAGGCGGUCUUGCAAGUCAGAAGUGAAAUUCCUGAGCUCAACUCGGGCGCUGCUUCUGAAACUGCAGGACUUGAGUGCUGGAGGGGAUAGCGGAAUUCCUAGUGGAGCGGUAAAAUGCGCAGAUAUUAGGAAGAACACCGGUGGCGUAGGCGGCUAUCUGGACAGUAACUGACGCUGAGGCGCGAAAGCGUGGGGAGCAAACAGGAUUAGAUACCCUGGUAGUCCACGCCCUAAACGAUGAAUGCUAGGUGUAGGGGAGUCAUCUUCUGUGCCGCAGCUAACGCAAUAAGCAUUCCACCUGGGGAGUACGGCCGCAAGGUUGAGACUCAAAUGAAUUGACGGGG
rnacentral:rRNA from 1 species